rnacentral:lncRNA from 1 species
UAUAUAUAUAUAAAAUGGUUUAUUUGGCUCACGAUUCUGAUGGUUGGAAAGUUCAUGAUCAGGCCUCUGCUUCUAGUGAGGGCCUUGCUCUGCUUCCACUCAGGGUGGAAAGUGGAGGGGAGCCGUGUGAGCAGAGAUGGCAGAGAUGGCAUGGCAAGAGCAAGCAAGCGUGUGGGGAGGCGCCAGGGUCAUUUUAACAACCAGCUCUCUUGGGAACUAAUGGAGCAAGAAUGCAUUCAUUACCAUGAGGAGGGCACCAAGCCAUUCAUGAGGGAUCCCCAUGACCCCCAUGGGACCCCCACGGGACCCCCAUGACCCAAACACCUCCCACCAGGCCCCACCUUCAACACCGGGGAUCACAUUUCAACCUGAGAUGUGGAGGGACACACAUUCCAACUAUAGCGAGCUGCUACAGAGCUUGAGCUGGUGACUGACAUGCAAAUCCAGAGGCUAAAUGUUGUUUUCAAGAGAAGACAGAAAUUUUUACUUUUUUAUUGAGGCAGAGUCUCACUCUGUCGCCCAGGCUGGAGUGCAGUGGCAUGAUCUUGGCUCACUGCAAGCUCUGCCUCCCGGGUUCACGCCAUUCUCCUGCCUCAGCCUCCCGAGUAGCUGGGACUACAGGCGCCCGCCACCACGCUCAGCUAAUUUUUUGUAUUUUUAGUAGAGACGGGGUUUCACUGUGUUAGCCAGGAUGGUCUCGAUCUCCUGUCCUUGCGAUCCACCCGUCUCGGCCUCCCAAAGUGCUGGGAUUACAGGAGUGAGUCACUGCGCCUGGCCAAAUUGUGAUAUUUUAAGUGUAAACUAUCUCAAUGGGAAUAUUGAUAACAAUUCAUAUAUAUUUUUUAAACUGCAUGACCCAAAUGAAACAGGUCUGUGUGCCUGAUUUGCAGCCUCUGGACUAUUAUGUGCAAGUGGAAUCCUGUGGCUUGGGGUCAGGAAGCAAUGCUGCAGGCCUCUGGGUAAGGGAUGGGGACUUCCCCGAAUGGAGUGGGAAUUCCCACUGCCGGUCCUUCUGGAAAGUGGCCUGUCCUAGGACAGGAACUGAGGAACAGGGAGGCAGAGUUUGCCUCCCAUGGGUGGAGGAGCUCCUUCUCUCACCGAGUCUCUGGAGGGCUGCCCUGCAUGGUCGGGGGCAGGUGUGCUCACAGCACCCUGGUGGGGCAGGCCCUGCUCCAGGGAGGCAAGCUCGGGGGGCCUGACUGAGCGGCAGCAGUAGCAGCCCCAAGUCCCCCUGUUUUGAGCGUCCCUUCUGCUGACACUUCAAACAAUGCCUGGUUAAAGGUUAUAGCCCAGCUUAAGCUGGGUGCGGAGAGGAAUGAGGUGGAGCAGAGGAGAAGGUGGGGAGCGCGUGCUCCUUCUGCAAGGCCUAAGUCAGGGGACUCAGUGGCACCAGAACAGUGGUCAUCUUGGGAGUGCCAACAGCUGGGAAGGCAGUCCUGGUCGCUCAGGAGCGGGGAAGAAGAGCAGACGCUCAGACACACGUGGUUGAAGCCGGGCCCUUCGUUUGAAGAAAUGACAAUAGAUGUUUGCCUGGAGUUUUAGCGUUUACAAAGUGAUCCACUAACACCGUCUCAUGGAAUCUUCACAUCAACG